rnacentral:lncRNA from 1 species
CAUGUAAUACACGCCUGCUUCCCCUUCCCCUUCUACCAUAACGGAAAAAGCUCAUGGGAGGCUGGACCCAGUGGCUGAAGCCUGUAAUCCCAACCCUUUCGGAGGCUGAGGUAUAUGGUGCAUAAUUGGAAAUGGAGCAUGAUGGGGAGAAGUAUGAACCAGAGACUUUUGGAAGAAGUCUGAAUUCUGUGUGCUUUAUAUACAUUUCUCAUGAGGUAAAGGAGACGAUAUCUUCCUCACCAGCAGGAUAAAUAAUAGGUGAUCAAAAGACCCCAGAGCAUGGUGCAAAAAAAAAAUAUGAAACAAACUAAUUUUCCUCGAUCUACAUUUUGGAAAACCACUGUUAUAUUUUUCAGCUCCCAGUGGGAGUUUUUAAUGCCUUUUUCAGCAACAAAACAAAACAAAACAAAACAUUGCAUUACAUACCAUAGGAGAGUAAUGGAAAAGAGAAACAAAAAUCCAGGAUUAAUUCUAAAGUCUUAUAUUCCUAAACACUAUGAAUAUAGAUAAUAGGUCUUGAUUUAAAGCUUUCCAUAUUAAUUUAAUCCCUUGUAAACUCUGCUGUUUCAUAGAAAUUAUACUUUAAGAUGAAGAUUAAAAACAGAAAAAGAAUAUUUUGUGUCUGUUCAUUCAUGUUAUUCCUUGAUUCAUUGUAGCAUAAUGAACAAAAUUUUAGUUUAAGAUUAAAAACUUGCAAUUAUGGUGACAGUUAAAUAUAUAUUAUAGAAACAUGAAAAAACUACAACUCUUUAUGACAUUCAGAGAUCAUGAAAACAUGCUAUUAAGAGAUUUUCAAUAUAAUACUAGAGUAACUUGGAAAAAUAUAAACUAAUAAUUUAAAAACUUUGUGAAAGUCAACAGAUAAUAUUUUAUAAUAUAAAGUUAACAUUCAUUUUUUAAAACUUCAACUCUAGAGCCUAGAAGAUUUGAUGAAAGAGAAACUUUUUUAUUCACUUUAUUGAUAAUGUUCAAUUGUAACAUUUCUGCUGCAUUUAAGAUAGCACAAUCUCACCUUACAAGCAAAUUACUCAUGUCUAUUUCCUAUCUCGAUAAGCACACCUAAGAGCAUACGAUUUUGUUUCCAUUCACAGAUGUACCAUAGAUACUUAUGAGGAACAUUUCCACAUGUUGCACACCUCCUUUAAUUUUGUUUGUUAGUUGGUCCUUGUAGAUCAACUUUAUGGGUUUUAUCUUGACCUAUCACAUUUAUUUGUAACAUAUGAUAAUCUGAGCAAGAAGGCAAAUGCACUUCCAUUUUGACUCUCAACCUGGAUAUACAUAUUUCCCUGACAAUGUGCAGCCUCCAUUGUGAAGACUGAACUUGAGGAUGUGUCUUAGAAAGACUCACCGGAACAUUAGCCAGAUGUUAACAAUGUAUAUUACUGCAGGUCUAAUUUGUUCUGAAAAUCUCUUUGUGAACUUGACAAAGCCAUAUGCCUCAGUAUGUUCUUUCAUCAGUUAAAAAAAAGGGGUUUGGGACUAUUUCAGCAACAAAAAUGCUAUGAAUAUAAUAUUUUGACUAACUGCCUUUUAAAUUUUUAUAUAUUUUCCAUUUGCAUUCAUUUAGGAUAUGUAAUAUAUUCAUAUAGUUCAAAAUGCAAGAGGCAUACAAUUUUAAAGAACAUGUUGAAGGCCUACCCAUCACUGUCAGCCUAAUUUA